GAAGACCAAACGGGAUGGUGAGGCUAACGGGGCUCAGUCUUUCACUCGCUCAUUCUGCUGCGGCAGCUACUGCAGUAACUCGCCCCACUUUCAGAGGCCACCGGCUGUAGCUUUUCUCUUUCCAUCAUUGCUUUGAAACGGGUUUCCCUGAUGCCCUUCCUUCCUCUGUGAUAUAAGAAACAACUGGGAAGGUAGGUGUGCCCUUUUCAACAAAGACGCUGGCAAUAAGAGAAAAUCAUUGAACAGAAACAACGCGUGCAAAACAGACAGGCAGAACCUCGUCCAGACCUUCGCCAAAAAUUCUUGCUGAAUCCAUUCAAUGCAAAGGAAGUCACAGAGGCACACAUCAACAUAAUGUAGAAAUUCCUUACAGACUGAGAGAGUGACAUGUGAUACGUUUAAGUUUUGAAUGGGAUGUGAUUUUCCAAUGGCACCUGGAAAACAGAAAUGAUCCUAAGAGAAUAUCUACUGAGGGAUGGAUGUCCCACUGAAAAAAGGAAUACAAAUUGAUCAUGUCAUGAGAAAUAUUUUACGAUCUUCUUUGAUACAGACAAUUGCAGGAAGACUUUGCCAAUGUGUGAAUCUCAUCAGUAGAGACCUGGGAAACAUCACCGGCAUGCGCUCCUCCUCAGAAACACCGCGCAUGUGCGUAUUUGGUGAGAAUGGUAGAAUAGGGUAGCUAGGCACCCUGGGAAGGUUAUUAUCAUUUAUGAAUGGGAUGGCCUUUGAUUUCAAGAAAUGAAAUAGAAAUUACAAAUGGUAAUGGAUUUUUAUAGCCUUUUAAUAAGAUGCUUUUACAAGACUGGUAAUUGUGCUUCUCUAUUUGCUUUCAACGGCCACCCUUUGAGAUCGAAUUCAAAUGACCUCUUGGCUGAUUGGGCAGAAGAUUCGUCAGUUAUGUUCCCUCUGACAGUCGAGAACAACUGUUCCAUUGACAAUGGGCUUGGUUGGACCACCCACAUCAGCACAGAGGAUGCGAUGUCACUCAACUUCUGCCUCCUUCACUGAGACAUUCUCCAUUGAAGCCUGAGUCACUGUGCAAAAGCUUGACUUCCCAGGGGUUACAAAGAUAUAAGGAAGACCUUGUCACAUGACGAAGACAGGACCAGGCACUGCAAUUGAUGGUCUUAGCUAUUCGUGGAGUUUGGAAUAUUCUAGCCCAGGAAUCAAGCAUGUGAGUGGAAAAAAAUGUAGUAAUAGAUUUGAAGGGAAACUGAGCAAGUAUCAGUGAACAGUAUAUUGGUAAUUAGUGAAGCUGAGUGAUCUUGAUAUUUCAAUCUGCCUGUGUGUCUUUCUGUCUGGGGAUCUUUCUGUUUGCCUCCGUCUUUCUGUCUCUUUUCUUGUCUCCUCCCCAACCCCUCUCUCCUCCUUUCCCUUUUCUUUGUCCUCCUCCUCCUCUUCUUCAUUCUCCUCCUCCUCCUCUUCCUCAUUCUCCUCCUCCUCUUCCUCAUUCUCCUCCUCCUCCUCAUUCUCCUCCUCCUUCUUCUUCUCCUUCUCCUCCUUCUCCUCCUCCCUGUCAUUUGAGACAGGGUCUCAUUAUGUAGUCCAGGCUGAAAUCUUCAAUCUUCCUGCCUCAGCCUCUAGAGAGUUGAGAGUGAGCCAACAUACUCCAGUUAGCCUGCUCUUUUAAAUCCUCUGGUUUGUGCAUUGCUGUCUUGCACUCUCUCAGUCAGUUCAAGAUGUUGUAACAAAAUACUAUAGACCAGAAUGCUUAAAUGUCAGAAAUGUAUUCACAGUCUUGAAGCCUAGACAUCCAAAUUUGAGAUGCUGGUGUGGUUGGCUUCCAGUGAGGAUUUUUUUUCAUGGUGUGUAGAUGGCCCAGCUCCUUCUUGUGUCUUCAUAUAACAACAGGGAGAGAUGCUCUUCUGACAGAAGAGCUGGCCCCAUUAUAAUGAAAUUCGCCUGCUGAUGUUAUUGAAGUAGUUACCUUUCAGAGUCUCAUCUGCACACAUGUAGAUCACGGGUAAGGCUGCAACACAUGAAUGUUGAUGAGACAUGGCUCAGCUUAUUGUCCUUAUUUCAUCACGUGACACUCUCCAGUACUGAUGCACUCUCAACUGUCACAGACAAGUGACUGUCAUUGUAUUGCUUACUGGGUAAUAUGUAGAAAAGGUUUUCAAGGUUCACAUCAAGCCAUCUGACGAUCCUGAUACAACUUCUACACAAAAGGCCUAGAAAUUUAUAAGAACAAAAAAAAUCAUCUAAUGGGAAAAAUUUAUAGUCCAGGCUGUCCUCAACAUUGCUAUAUAGUCCUGGGUAGCCUUGAACUCAUGAUUCUCCCAACUUACCCUCCUGAAUGCCAGGAUUACAAAGAACAUCACUUUGCCCAGAUGACAAAUGACUUAAUAGGAAAAGCUUAUAGGAGUUUUAAAAAAAUCAGAACAAAAAUAAAUUUGAAUAAAUAUAUGUACAUGAGAUGCAGUCAAAGCUAGCGAGACUUGGAAGAAAUAGUUACUUUUAUAUAGUUCAGCGGAUAUGAAUAUUUAUGAAAACAACUGAGCAAUAUUUAUGCAGAAUGAAAAUAUGCUUGUCUACUGACUCAGCACUCCUACUUUGUGAGCUAGGCAUGAUGGUGCACACAGUGACACCUUGUGUGCACCUCUAUCCCUCAGAGGGCUGCUACAGGACGGGCAAGAGGUCAGGGCCAGCCUGGGCUAUAGCGUGAGACCCUGUAUUAACAAACAAAAGCAAAGCAAAACAACAACAACAAAAAAUAAAAAUUCUACCUCUUAGAACAAGAGUAAACGCUUUGAAAAGAUGAACGCUCACAUUGUGAUACACACAAGAUGGUUACAUAGCAAGAAUUUGGGAAGAUAGAAGCAUGGUGAUGUUAACUGUGAAACCAUACUAAAAUCUCUCUCUCUCUCUCUCUCUCUCUCUCUCUCUCUCUCUCUCUCUCUCUCUAGCUGUGCAACCAUCCUAUCUCUCUCUUUUCCUUUCAGUCUCUCUUUGUCUCUGUCUUUGUCUGUCUGUCUUUCUCUCCUCUCUCUGUCUCUGUUGGUCUGUUUCUCCUCUCUUUGUCUCUUUCUCCUUCCCCCCUGUCUUUCUCUCUCCUCUCUCUGCCUUUGUCUCUGUCUCUCUCCUCUCUCUGCCUUUGUCUCUGUCUCUCUCCUCUCUCUGCCUUUGUCUCUGUCUCUCUCCUCUCUGUCUCUCCCUCUAACUCUCUCUGUCUCUGUCUCUCUGUCUCCCACACCACCACCACCACCACCUCUGGAGAGAGAGAAUAUCAUGUAGCUCAGGUUGAUUUUAAACUUGCUACAGGCAGCCUUGAACUCCCAAUGCUCCCACCUCACCAUCCAUGUACUGGAAUGAUAGCGUCCACCACUACGCUUCACUUAAUUUAUACAAAUCUUAAAACUUUCUUUUUUUUUUUUUUUUGAGCUGAGGACCGAACCCAGGGCCUUGCACUUGCUAGGUAAGUGCUCUACCACUGAGCUAAGUCCCCAACCCCAAAACUUUCAUUAUGUAUUGUUGCUAUGGCUUGAAAGUGCCCCCCUAGGAUGGUGCAAAAUUGAUAACCAUUGUGGCAGAAAGGAGAAAUGGGGAGGCCUUUAAAAGUUGCUUAGGAUUUGGCCCCACUGCUCUGAAUGGAUUGGUGGAGUGUUUUUUCAAAGUGAAUCUGCUCCUUGUGUUUUAUUUUUCUGAUACCUGUUUACUUCCCAGCCUCCACAGCCCUGUUACAAUGAACCACAAAGCCCAUUAUGAUGAAGCACAAAGCUGCUACCAGAGGUCAAGCAAGUUGCUGGAGCCAUGCUCUUAAAUCCCACCUCCCAGAACCAUAAGCCUAAACCAACCAUUCUGUAUGAAUCACUUGGACUCCGGAAUUUUGUUAUAGCAGUAAAAAUAAACUACUGACAAGCUAAGAAUGAAUUAAUCCUAAUAUUUUCUUAGGAAAAGAAUAAAUCAUUCUAUUUCAUAAAGAAAGGAGAUGAGAAUGAAUGAAAAGUUACAUAUCCAAAGGUUAACCCAAUUAUUUCAAGAGACAAAUGGAAGAUUCUACAAUGUCAUAGUUAUUACAAAAUAUAUGUGUGUGCCUGAGUGUGUACCAUGUUCAUGAAGGAGCCUGAGGAGGUCUGAGGAAGCACUGGAUGCCCGAGAACUGAAGCUACAGAUGGCUGUGACCCACCAUGUCAGUGCUGGAGCCAAACGAACCCAGCCCUGCCCCCAUGUUGUCUUGUCAUUGACCCGGAGCAGGAAGACCGGUUCACUCAUUCCUGUCUAAACUUCUUAACAGACCUGAAAAUUUUAUCUUUAAUUUCAAUAUGGUUUUACUAGAGAGUCUUGCCUAGAACUUCUCAGAUUUAGCUGAACAGACUAUCAAAAGUGUAAUCUUUUUUGAACUUUAAAAUACACUUCGAGGGCUGGAGAGAUGUCUCAGUGGUUAAGAGCACCCACUGCUCUUCCAGAGGGCCUAGGUUCCAUGCCCAGCAAUCACAUGGUGGCUCACAACCAUCUCUAAUCUGAUCUGAUGCCCUCUACUGUUGUGUCUGAAGACAGGUACAGUGUACUCAUAUGCAUAAAAUAAAGAAAUCUAAAAGAAAAAAGAAGAUGGUAGUAGCCCUUAUAUCGUAUAAAAUACACUUAGAGUAAAAAUACUCCUUCAAAGUUUUGAUUUAGUGUGUGUGUGUGUGUGUGUGUGUGUGUGUGUGUGUGUGUGUGUGUGUGUGUGAUGAAUGUACCAUGGUCUGGCUGGUAUGGGAGAAGGCCAGAGGAGAGCUUGUCAGGGUUCUACCACUUUUAUGUGGCGUCUGGGGAUUGAACUCAGGUUGCAAUCCUUCUGCAGCAACAGCCUGUACCCACUGAGACAUCUUGCCCCUCCCCCAUCAAUUUAUUUAUUUUAAGUAUUUAUGUUAAAGUUUAUUUAAUGUCUGGGGGCUAGGGAGAGACACAUGAGUGCAGGAGGUACCUACAAAAACAAACAAACAAACAAACAAACAACAACAAAAACCAAAUCCAGAAGAAGGCAUUGGAUUCCUUAAAGCUAGAGUUAGAGGCAGUUGUGAGCCACCGAGCAUGCUGGGAACCCAUCUUUGGUCCUCUGAAAAAGGAGCAAGCACUCUUAAUCCCUGAGUCAUCUCCUGGGCCUCCAAAUGUGUCCUGUUUUUAUAAUGAAAUGGACCAUUAAAAGGUUUUCUAAGUUUAAUACACAUGUAUGUGUUUUUGGAAGCCAUUCUUUAUGAAGUCUUCAGGAAAAAGGGAAGGUCUCACAUCCCUUCAUUUCUCAUGAUACACAAGCCAAGCUGCAUUUAUUCAGUUUGCUACAAAUAGUCCACUACUGUGUGGGUGAGGAAGGAGAAAUAG